rnacentral:rRNA from 1 species
GACGAACGCUGGCGGCGCGCCUAACACAUGCAAGUCGAACGAGCGAGAGAGAGCUUGCUUUCUCAAGCGAGUGGCGAACGGGUGAGUAACGCGUGAGGAACCUGCCUCAAAGAGGGGGACAACAGUUGGAAACGACUGCUAAUACCGCAUAAGCCCACAGGUCGGCAUCGACCAGAGGGAAAAGGAGCAAUCCGCUUUGAGAUGGCCUCGCGUCCGAUUAGCUAGUUGGUGAGGUCACGGCCCACCAAGGCAACGAUCGGUAGCCGGACUGAGAGGUUGAACGGCCACAUUGGGACUGAGACACGGCCCAGACUCCUACGGGAGGCAGCAGUGGGGAAUAUUGCACAAUGGGGGAAACCCUGAUGCAGCGACGCCGCGUGGAGGAAGAAGGUCUUCGGAUUGUAAACUCCUGUUGUUGAGGAAGAUAAUGACGGUACUCAACAAGGAAGUGACGGCUAACUACGUG